AGUGAACGCUGGCGGUAGGCCUAACACAUGCAAGUCGAACGGCAGCACAGUAAGAGCUUGCUCUUACGGGUGGCGAGUGGCGGACGGGUGAGGAAUACAUCGGAAUCUACUUUUUCGUGGGGGAUAAUGUAGGGAAACUUACGCUAAUACCGCAUACGACCUACGGGUGAAAGCAGGGGAUCUUCGGACCUUGCGCGAUUGAAUGAGCCGAUGUCGGAUUAGCUAGUUGGCGGGGUAAAGGCCCACCAAGGCGACGAUCCGUAGCUGGUCUGAGAGGAUGAUCAGCCACACUGGAACUGAGACACGGUCCAGACUCCUACGGGAGGCGGCAGUGGGGAAUAUUGGCCAAUGGGCGCAAGCCUGAUCCAACCAUACCGCGUGGGUGAAGAAGGCCUUCGGGUUGUAAAGCCCUUUUGUUGGGAAAGAAAAGCAGCAGGUUAAUACCCCGCUGUUCUGACGGUACCCAAAGAAUAAGCACCGGCUAACUUCGUG
rnacentral:rRNA from 1 species